UACGUAGGGACCGAGCGUUGUCCGGAAUCAUUGGGCGUAAAGAGCGUGUAGGCGGCCACUUAAGUCCUGCGUGAAAUCUUGCGGCUCAACCGCAAGCGGUCGUGGGAAACUGGGUGGCUAGAGUGCGGGAGAGGAGAGUGGGAAUUCCUGGUGUAGCGGUGGGAAUGCGCAGAUAUCAGGAAGAACACCCGUGGCGAAGGCGGCUCUCUGGAACGCAACUGACGCUGAGACGCGAAAGCGUGGGGAGCAAACAGG
rnacentral:rRNA from 1 species